AUGAACUUUGUGAGCUUCGUAAAAAACGUUAUGUAUAUUUAUUAACAACUUAAAAAUUAUAUCACUUGUCUGUACUGUACCGUAUUAUUCCUGGAUCGAAACGCUACAUACAUUUCAAUUUUGGUGCAGUUAAAAUGUCAAAAGUUACCCUUGCUUCGUGCGUAAAUGAUAGAGCACAGACUGUAUGGUUGUAGAGUAUCUAUGAUCCACAUUCGUAUUUUGUAGUUUUAAUUCUCCUAUGCAUCUUCACAGCUCAGAAUAUUCUGUCUGAGGGCGAGAGAUUGUUAUUAUCAUGUCAUAGGGGGCUGCCAUGCUUGCUAUACGAAACUAAAAGUCAAUACAUGUAUAAUUUAUGACGUAAAAAAAUCGAAUUCUUCAUUGAUAAAACUUAUUUUGAUAUAAAAUAUUGUAUUUUCAGUGAAAAGUUAUUCAGAUAGUGUUUGUAAUUUUUUUAAAACAGAAAUCUUGGAAAUUCGAAACUAAGGUAUUUCUUAGCUCUACCGUACACUUUUGAAUAGGCGCAAACUUGAAAACGCGCGAGACGUUGGAAGUGGGAAUUUGUAGUAUGGAAGAAUCAGUAUUUGUCAUCUAUUAUUUGCAUAGUUACUGUGCCGUUUUCGUAUUGCAUAAUUUUAUUUCGAUCGGGUUCAAUAUUCUGUUUAUACUAAUUAUGGUAGCCAUGCAGUUUGCCUGGCGUUUUGGCUGUGAAGUUUGGUGAUGUUGGCCUCCCUAAGGAUUUUUCACCCUCUCACAAGGUGUGUCCAAUAAACAGUACAGUCACUGAUCUUUGUCAACUUUUAAAGAAAAUAACAGAAUAUGAAGAAGGAAGACUAAAUAUAGGAUCGAUCUACUUCAUAACUGGAAAAAGAGAAGCAGUUCACAAAUGUUGAGGAGCAGAAGAGAAGAAACUCUGGCUGCACAAAAAUCUGAGCUCUUGAAAAAGAAACAAAAAAAAGAAAUGAAAAUAUGAAUAAUAUUCAAUCAAAGGAUCCAAAUGAUGAAGUUCUGGAAAUUCCACAUGGAGAGACAAUAAGGAUUUUUGAAUUGACCAUCUCUGCUCGAACUGCUUGAAAGCACUGAAAACUGUUUCCCUGGUGCUGAACAAACUUUUCUCCUAGACUGGAAUUAAAAACUGUUCAAUUUCUGGCAUUAAAACACAAUUUGAAACAUGCUGAGGAAGGAUCCCCUCUCCUUUUGACCAAGUAAGGUUAAACAUUCUGCAAAGAGUUGCAUUUGAAUUGAAUUUUUUUUAUACUUUUACCAGGAAUGAACUACAUUACUCAUUUACUAUGGUUUAAUGUGUCAGAUUGUCUAUUUUAAUUUUUUUAACAAAGAUUUUGUUGCCAUGGUUGGAAAACAAACAACAUUUCUGUAAAAUCUUUCAAGAUGCUGUAUUAUAAAUCAUCUACUGUUACUUUUUUUAGCAUGACUUCAUGCAUUUUCAUGAAUAAACAUGAAUAAUAA